UACGGGGGGGGGCAAGCGUUGUUCGGAAUUACUGGGCGUAAAGGGCUCGUAGGCGGCCAACUAAGUCAGACGUGAAAUCCCUCGGCUUAACCGGGGAACUGCAUCUGAUACUGGAUGGCUUGAGUUCGGGAGAGGGAUGCGGAAUUCCAGGUGUAGCGGUGAAAUGCGUAGAUAUCUGGAGGAACACCGGGUGGCCGAAGGCGGCAUCCUGGACCGACACUGACGCUGAGGAGCGAAAGCCAGGGGAGCAACGGG
rnacentral:rRNA from 1 species